GGGCCCGCACAAGCGGUGGAGCAUGUGGCUUAAUUCGAGGCAACGCGAAGAACCUUACCUGGUCUUGACAUGCCCGUCAUAGUUUUCCGAAAGGAAUUCGUCAGUUCGGCUGGACGGUGCACAGGUGCUGCAUGGCUGUCGUCAGCUCGUGUCGUGAGAUGUUCGGUUAAGUCCGGCAACGAGCGCAACCCUCGUUCCUAGUUGCCAGCGGGUAAUGCCGGGGACUCUAGGAAGACAAACCUCGUGUAGAGGUGGGAAGGUGGGGACGACGUCAAGUCAGUAUGGCCCUUACGACCAGGGCUGCACACGUGCUACAAUGCCCAGCACAAUGGGAUGCAACGCCGCGAGGUUGAGCAAAUCCACAAAACUGGGCCCAGUUCGGAUUGGAGUCUGCAACUCGACUCCAUGAAGUUGGAAUCGCUAG
rnacentral:rRNA from 1 species